UACGUAGGGUGCGAGCGUUGUCCGGAUUUAUUGGGCGUAAAGAGCUCGUAGGCGGUUUGUCGCGUCGGCCGUGAAAUCUCCACGCUUAACGUGGAGCGUGCGGUCGAUACGGGCAGACUUGAGUUCGGUAGGGGAGACUGGAAUUCCUGGUGUAGCGGUGAAAUGCCCAGAUAUCAGGAGGAACACCGGUGGCGAAGGCGGGUCUCUGGGCCGAUACUGACGCUGAGGAGCGAAAGCGUGGGGAGCGAACAGG
rnacentral:rRNA from 1 species